rnacentral:tRNA from 1 species
GGGUAUAUAGCUCAGUGGUAGAGCACGUGCCUAGCAUGCACAAGGUCCUGGAUUCAGUCCCCAGCACCUCCA